rnacentral:lncRNA from 1 species
UAACAAUCCCAAAAACGGAUAUUAAAUUUCAAAACAAUGAAGUAUUAAAACCAAUAGCUAACAUAUUAGAGGACCUAGACAAAGGAAAAAGAAUUAAUAUCAUUGAAGAAGAAGAAGAAAGUAAUCAAGAUUCAGAAUCUGAUAUUUAAGAAAUAAAUAAAAUAAGAAACAAUUUUACAUCAAAAAAGCCUUACUACAAAAAACAUACUCCACCUGAUUUAUUAUUUGAAGAAAAUCAAUAUAAAACCAGUAAUUA